AUUGAACGCUGGCGGCAUGCCUUACACAUGCAAGUCGAACGGCAGCACGGGAGCAAUCCUGGUGGCGAGUGGCGAACGGGUGAGCAAUAUAUCGGAACGUGCCCAGUCGUGGGGGAUAACGCAGCGAAAGCUGUGCUAAUACCGCAUACGAUCUAAGGAUGAAAGCGGGGGAUCGCAAGACCUCGCGCGAUUGGAGCGGCCGAUAUCAGAUUAGCUAGUUGGUGGGGGAAAGGCCCACCAAGGCGACGAUCUGUAGCUGGUCUGAGGGGACGGACAGCCAAACUGGAACUGAGACACGGUCCAGACUCCUACGGAAGGCAGCAGUGGGGAAUUUUGGAGGAUGGGGUCAAGCCUGAUCCAGCAAUGCCGCGUGCAGGAUGAAGGCCUUCGGGUUGUAAACUGCUUUUGUACGGAACGAAACGGCCCUUUCUAAUACAGGGGGCUAAUGACGGUACCGUAAGAAUAAGCACCGGCUAACUACGUGCCAGCAGCCGCCGUAA
rnacentral:rRNA from 1 species